rnacentral:rRNA from 1 species
CCUACGGGUGGCAGCAGUGAGGAAUAUUGGUCAAUGGACGAGAGUCUGAACCAGCCAAGUAGCGUGAAGGAUGACUGCCCUAUGGGUUGUAAACUUCUUUUAUAUGGGAAUAAAAUGUUCCACGUGUGUGAUUUUGUCUGUACCAUAUGAAUAAGGAUCGGCUAACUCCGUGCCAGCAGCCGCGGUAAUACGGAGGAUCCGAGCGUUAUCCGGAUUUAUUGGGUUUAAAGGGAGCGUAGGUGGAUUGUGAAGUCUGUUGUGAAAGUUUGCGGCUCAACCGUAAAAUUGCAGUUGAAACUGGCAGUCUGGAGUACAGUAGAGGUGGGCGGAAUUCGUGGUGUAGCGGUGAAAUGCUUAGAUAUCACGAAGAACUCCGAUGGCGAAGGCAGCUCACUGGACUGCAACUGACACUGAGGCUCGAAAGUGUGGGUAUCAAACAGGAUUAGAUACCCCAGUAGUC